rnacentral:lncRNA from 1 species
UGAAACUGAAAGUAAAGUUCGUGUACAGGAUACAUUUUGAUCUCAUGGAGCAGUACAAAAUUUGGCAGUAUAAUGUAAUAUUUGUAUUUAAUAAUAUUUUAAACUUAUAAAGCCAAUUAUUUCAUAAUGUUUCCGCAAAGAACAAAGCUGAGAAAGUGACCACUUGAGUUUGAGUCUUUAUCCAGGAAGUGUUUCUCUCCAUUAGGUGCAUACAGGUCUAAGCAGAUUGAGAGAACAGGGGCACUGCCACUAAAAUGAGUCUCUCUGUGGAGAGUGAGGAUGGAGACACUGCCUCUAAAAUGAAUAUUUCUGGGCAACAUGACACCACAGCUAAGAGGGAAAUCUAUCAGGAGAGACCAGCCUCCCCUAUAUCCAGCUGUGUGUCCAUGAAGAGUGACCGGUCUAUGGUUGAACCAAUGAAGUUCAGAAAAGGAGUUUCAGGGUGAGAUAGAGAGAGGGAUUGAGAUACAAAUAAAUGGUAUAUGUUCUAGGUACUGGUGUUGGUUAACCUACACUACCUUGGUUUAUAUUUAAUAUUGAUG